GAUGAACGCUGACAGAAUGCUUAACACAUGCAAGUCGAUGGGGAAGUGGUGCUUGCACCAUGGCAACCAUGGCGGACGGGUGAGUAACGCGUAAGGGACUUACCUGCAGGACUGGGAUAACAGGGGGAAACUCCUGACAAGACCGGAUAAUGUCAUGGAGCUGCAUGGCUUUAUGAUGAAAGGAGACGCCUGCGGAGAGCCUUGCGUCCUAUUAGCUAGUUGGUGAGGUAAGGGCUCACCAAGGCGAAGAUAGGUAGCCGGCCUGAGAGGGUGGACGGCCACAAGGGGACUGAGAUACGGCCCUUACUCCUACGGGAGGCAGCAGUGGGGAAUAUUGGACAAUGGGGGCAACCCUGAUCCAGCAAUUCUGUGUGCACGAAGAAGGUUUUCGGAUUGUAAAGUGCUUUCAGCAGGGAAGAAGUAAGUGACGGUACCUGCAGAAGAAGCGACGGCUAAAUACGUGCCAGCAGCCGCGGUAAUACGUAUGUCGCGAGCGUUAUCCGGAAUUAUUGGGCAUAAAGGGCAUCUAGGCGGCCUGACAAGUCAGGGGUGAAAACCUGCGGCUCAACCGCAGGCCUGCCUUUGAAACUGUGAGGCUGGAGUACCGGAGAGGUGGACGGAACUGCACGAGUAGAGGUGAAAUUCGUAGAUAUGUGCAGGAAUGCCGAUGAUGAAGAUAGUUCACUGGACGGUAACUGACGCUGAAGUGCGAAAGCCGGGGGAGCAAACAGG
rnacentral:rRNA from 1 species